rnacentral:tRNA from 1 species
GCAUUGGUGGUUCAGUGGCAGAAUUCUCGCCUUCCAGGCAGGAGACCUGCAUUCGAUUCCCAGCCAGUGCA